CUGAGUUCUACGAGUUAAAGCAAGGAAAGAAAUCUGUGGUUGAAUACGACAAGGAAUUCUGCAACCUGUCUAGGUUUGCUCCACAACAAGUGGACACAGAUGAGAAGAUGGCAGAGAAAUUUUGUGCCGGUCUGCGACACGAAAUUAGGAUGACUCUAGCAAGCCACGGAGGACUCUCAUACACGGAGUCUCUGAACAGGGCACUUGACAUUGAAGCUGC
rnacentral:lncRNA from 1 species